rnacentral:rRNA from 1 species
GACGAACGCUGGCGGCGUGCCUAAUAUAUGCAAGUAGAACGCUGAAGAGAGGAGCUUGCUCUUCUUGGAUGAGUUGCGAACGGGUGAGUAACGCGUAGGUAACCUGCCUGGUAGCGGGGGAUAACUAUUGGAAACGAUAGCUAAUACCGCAUAAAAUUGAUUAUUGCAUGAUAAUUAAUUGAAAGAUGCAACUGCAUCACUACCAGAUGGACCUGCGUUGUAUUAGCUAGUUGGUGAGGUAACGGCUCACCAAGGCGACGAUACAUAGCCGACCUGAGGGGGUGAUCGGCCACACUGGGACUGAGACACGGCCCAGACUCCUACGGGAGGCAGCAGUAGGGAAUCUUCGGCAAUGGGGGGAACCCUGACCGAGCAACGCCGCGUGAGUGAAGAAGGUUUUCGGAUCGUAAAGCUCUGUUGUAAGAGAAGAACGGGUGUGAGAGUGGAAAGUUCACACUGUGACGGUAUCUUACCAGAAAGAGACGGCUAACUACGUG